GCUGUGAUGGCCGAGUGGUUAAGGCGUUGGACCUGAAAUCCAAUGAGAUCUUCCCGCGUAGGUUCGAACCCUACUCGCAGCG
rnacentral:tRNA from 1 species